AAUUAUGCGAUACUUGGUGUGAAUUGCAGAAUUCAGUGAAUCAUCGAAUCUUUGAACGCACCUUGCGCUCCUUGGUAUUCCGAGGAGCAUGCUUGUUUGAGUGUCAUGAAUUCUUCAUUCACACCCUGGAAGCUUUUGUGGUUUGUAGGCUUGGACUUGGAGGCUUGUCGGCCGUUCUUGGUCGGCUCCUCUUAAAUGCAUUAGCUUGGUUCCUUGCGGAUCGGCUCUCAGUGUGAUAAUGUCUACGCUGCGACCGUGAAGCGUUUGGCGAGCUUCUAACCGUCUCAGUUGGAGACAACUUUAUGACCUCUGACCUCAAAUCAGGUAGGACUACCCGCUGAACUUAAGCAUAUCAAUAAGCGGAGGAA
rnacentral:rRNA from 1 species